rnacentral:ncRNA from 2 species
GGUCCAGAGCGUCAGCGCGAAGUCCCGGCUCGCUGACCGGCAACCCUCCAACCGCGGUGGGGUGCUCCGGGGUGAUGACCUGGUCGUGCGGAAACGCCGCACGGCAAGCGCGGGUC